AAAUUGAAUCUCAAAGUUAGAGUCGUUCGAAUGUGGGAAUCUUGGAUCGUUUAAAGCCUGAAAUACCAUAUGCCAUUGAGUUGAUUUUACAAGAUGCAAAGGUAACAUAGUCAACUUUAAUAGUUCUAAAUUUCUUUCUUUUCUACUUUUAUGAUAAUUUUUUCACAAUAAAUUGUACUAAAUAAACGAUUAUGUGUGGUAUCAAUAUUCUAUUUCUGUUUCUGAAAGUUUAUCAUCGGAAAGUUUGUUAUUAGUUUCUUUAGGGUGAACUUACGGCAAUUUUGAUUAUUCAACUUUACUUAGUUUUAAAGUUUCUCUUCUUUUUUGGUUUAACGGAUAAAAUUUCCGCAAUAAACUUUACUAAUUAAACGAUUAUACAGUAUUCUUUUUCUGUUUCUGAAAGUUUAUCAUCGAAAAAUUUGUUAUUACUUUCUUUAGGACAAACAUACCGAAAUUUUGCUUAUAUAUGAAACGAUUAUGUGUAGUAUGAUUAUUUCUCUAUCUGUUUGUUAAAGUUGUAUUCACAAUUGUGUUUCUCAAUUAUCUAAGAAAAACGCCAGUAAUUUAAAUUAUGUAUAAAAUAUUCUUUAAUUGAUAUGGAGCUCACUAUAAAAAUUAUUAUAAUUCAUCUAUACUGAAUCUUUGUAUGGUUUAACUUCUAUUGUGUUCAAAAAAAAUCUCUAUCAGAUAUCAACUAUGCUCGUCUCGGUUAAACUAUUAUCAGCAAGUUAGUUAUAAUGGACAUACUGAAACUUGGCUCAUAUAUAGAUGAUUCUAUUUUUUUGUACUAUGGUGGAGGGUUGGGUGUGUUAAUAGUGUGAAUACUUAAUCGUGUUUAAACAGUCCUUUAUCUAUUAAUAUGGUCCUAUUAGUAGAGGUUUUUGAAUUUGUUCUAUUUUAUUUUUUUCUUUAACAAGGACAACCAUCAGCCACAACCACAGGCGCAGCUACAGACACACGUGUAGAAGCAGGAACAAAAAGAGGUGGACAGUCUUAAAGAUGAACUCUAAAGGCUCAACAUAAAACAAUUGUAUGGCUCUGUUAAUUAUGCAAAUCAUUGAUUAAAGAUAUUUAGGACUUGAACAUGGUUUAAAUUUACAUAUGUGAUUGACUGUUAUUUCAGGCGGUUAUUAGGCAAGGACCUUAAUGGUUUGGGUUUGAAUGAACUACGACUGCUUGAACAUCAACUAAAUGAAGGACUAUUAGCCAUAAAGGAUAUGAAGGUGUGAUGAUUGCUUUGAUUAUUCAGUUAUUAGUGCCACAAGAUGUAGUCAAAUUUUUCCAGAAUAUAUUUAUUUUGUUGAAUCUUGAAAUCUGAGCUAUAAUAUUUUACAUUCUAGGAAUAAUUUUUGAUACAACAACUAGAGAACUCAAGGAGACAGGUAAACCACAUCAGAAAGUUGAAAUAUUUAUAUUUUUUAUUCCAGCAAAAAAAGAUUAUAAGUAAGAAUGAGCUUUUCUCAUAUUCUGCUCAUGUUUCUUUUUGGAUAAUGCCUAUCCAGGAGGAGAGGGCUGUGUUGGAAAGUGAAACCUUACGCAGACACGCAAGACAAGCCUUUGUUUUUGUUUCUAUUGCUUUACAGUCUAUAAUCCCCCCUUUAGCUUCCUGAUGGUUAAUUUCUGACCACAUUUCUUUUAGAAGGUAACAACUUAACUGCAUCAAAAAUUCUACUCAUGAAUGAUGAAAUUUUCUGGAAAUAGUGUCUUGACUAAAAAAGUUAUAUCUCUCUGUAGACACCUCAAAACCAUGAUUCACUUAUGCCGUUAAAAAGAGCACUUCUAGAACUAAAACAUAUACAAAAAAUAGAUCUACAUUCUUUGUAUAUUUAUAAAGAUAUACUUUUGAAUUUAUUUUUGAAAUAUUGGUACUCUGAUUUUCACAUCUAUACGUGUUCGUUAAUAAAAUCAUAUCUUUCUACAGACACGUCAAAACUAUCAUUUGCUUGUGCCAUUGGAGUUAGAACUUCUGGAGCUAUGAUAUAUAUAUAAAAAAAAUAGGUAACAAUCUUUGAAUAUUUAUACAAAUAAUCUUUUGAUCUCAAUUUGAAAUUUUGUCAUUAUAAUUUUAAGCUUUAUGCAUCUUGACUAAAAAAUAAUACAUCUCGCUGCAGGCACGUCGAAACCAUGAUCCACUUAUGCCGUUGGAGAGAGGACUUCUUCAACUAUAUUACAUACAAAAAAUUUGGUUAAGACUCUCUGUAAAUUCAUACAGAUAUUUUUUUGAACUCAAUUUUGAUUUUCUAUCAUUGUGCUUUUAACAGCUUUGCACUUUCUGGCAGUAAAAACUAUAUUGCUGGUGCAUCAUCUUUUUUUGAUAUCGUAUUAUUUUUUAUUUGAAUGCUUCCAUUUUCUUUCGCUCGCACUUCUAUAGAGUUACAACUUGAUUUUACUUGAAAUAUCAAGUUCCAUAUCUAUAUCCAUAUCAUGGAAUUGCAGAUGAUAAAAAGUAUCCAAUGCCAAAGUAUUCAAUUGAAUCUUGUAUCUGUAUUUAUAAAUGGGAAUAUUUGUAUUACUCUUCCUCACCCAAUCACAUACACAUUUACAACUUUACCCUAGUACCCUUUUUGUAAUUACUAUAGUACAAAGAAUAUCCUAAAUUUCUUGCAUAUCUAACCAGUCAUUCUCUCCCAGAUAUCCCUCUGAUUUUCUUUCCUUUCCUUUUCGCCGACAUCUUAAGCCCGAAACAUGUUUGGUGAAGUAGGUAAAAGGACAUUGUUGAUGCAACAAUAACAUACCCAGUAAAAUUUAACUAGCGAAGAUACGAUGCACAGGAAAAAAAAUUAACAUGCCAUGUGAGAAUAAAAUAAAUAAAAAAAUCGAUAAUUCCCACUUCACAAAUUAGCACAUUUAUUUUACAUAGUUAUCUGCCCUUUGUUUUAUUCGUUUUUCCCUCUAAAACUAGUUAUUGAUUCCAUUUAUUCUACAUUUUAUUAUAUUUUAUAACAGAUUUUAAUUAUUAUAUAUGUUAGCAUAUCAUAAGCCCACUUAACACUAAAAGAUGGAAUACUUGAAACUAGAAAUAUAUUUUAUAUUCCAGAUUUUGGGGGAAAACGACAUUUAAUUUAAUAAUUCGACUUAUGAAUUUAUUAAAGGAAUCUUUAAGCAAAUAGAAAUGCAAAUGCAAAUAAUACUGAUAGACAUAUGAACCUUAAUUUAUCUAUUUUUUUGGCUAAGAGCAGGAAAGUAAUCCUCAAAUUCAGAAAGUAGAGAAGCUCCCAAAACCCUAACGAAUCUAAACUGAAAUCUACCUUAGAAAACGAAGAAAUAGUAAAUAAAAAUGGAAUACACUUACCUUGUACUAGGAUGAACAAAUUAGGGAUUUCUAGCUUCUCUACUUCUCGAUGUUUUUGCUGAGACUGGAGUGAAGCGGAGGGUUUUGGGCAAAUUAUAUUCUUAAGACCCCAAAAAAAAUUACUUUGAAACUCCAAAAGAAAUUACUAUGAGAAGAAGAAGCUAUGCUAUUGCUGGAGACUGAAACUCCAACUCAUUCUCGUCGUUCCAGAUUCCGUUGACUACUACGGCGAGUUGAAGGGGAUGAUGAAGAAGAUGAAUUUGAUGAUUUGGACAAUGAGUUAGGGAUUCAUGGAAGAAGAAGGCAAGCAGAAAGAAGAGAGCCCCGUAAAUUGUAAGAGGAAGGCGGAAGAAGAGUAAAAAUCAGAGUAAAAUUGGGAAAGGCGGAAUUUCUGAAAAGAUUGGGAAAAAAAUGGAGGGAGUGUGGAAUAUAUUACCCGCUAUUAUUGUAUAAUUUUGCGGAGGUUUUAGACCCCUGUAAAUUAUAUAAUUUUGUGGGGCUAAUUCAUUGCUACAAAAGUAUGCACAUUGCGGAGGUUAGUUAUAAGCUCCACAAAUGAACCUCCGUAAUUUACCCAUUUUUUUAUAAUGAGUUAAUUUUCUAGUGAUUGGUGGUUUUUCUGUAACAAGGUAAUCGCUUGAGUCUUUGCUUCACCUUUAAGAAU
rnacentral:lncRNA from 1 species